UACGUAGGGUGCGAGCGUUGUCCGGAAUUAUUGGGCGUAAAGAGCUCGUAGGCGGUUUGUCACGUCUGCUGUGAAAUCCCGAGGCUCAACCUCGGGCCUGCAGUGGGUACGGGCAGACUGGAGUGCGGUAGGGGAGAUUGGAAUUCCUGGUGGUAGCGGUGGAAUGCGCAGAUAUCAGGAGGAACACCGAUGGCGAAAGGCGGCUCUCUGGGACGGUACUGACGCUGAGGCGCGAAAGCGUGGGGAGCAAACAGG
rnacentral:rRNA from 1 species